AGCUCCAAUAGCGUAUAUUAAAGUUGUUGCAGUUAAAAAGCUCGUAGUUGAAAUUCUGGUAGCUAAGGCUUCUAGUCUUCGGACAGAAGUGCUUACUGCCAUCCGCUUGUAAACAUAUUCUCGCUCUUCACCGGGCGGUUAUGUGAGCAAGCAUUUUACCUUGAGAAAAACAGAGUGUUCCAGGCAGGUUUGUCCGGAAUGCAUUAGCAUGGAAUAAUAGAAUAUGACUGAGGUCUAUUUAUUGGUUUAAGGCCACAGUAAUGAUUAAUAGGAACAGUCGGGGGCAUUAGUACUUGUCAGUCAGAGGUGAAAUUCUUGGAUUUGACAAAGACUAACUGAUGCGAAAGCGUUUGUCAAGGAUGUUUUCA
rnacentral:rRNA from 1 species